rnacentral:tRNA from 1 species
AAGAAAGUGACAGAAUGGUAAUGUGAGUGGCUUGAAACCAUUACACGGGGGUUCAAUUCCCUCCUUUCUCG